UGAAUAUUGAAAAUUUGGAUAUAUAACAGUUAUGAAUAUUGACAAAUAUAUAUCUGACAUGAGAAAAUAACAAGGAAGCCAUCGAACUACCUAUGGAGAUUAUCCUAACUUGUUAAUACUCACUUCUUUCGUGUUCGUGUGGGAUAGAAAUCCCUUCUCCAGUUCUCUUCCUUAUGUGUAUCCAUUCUUCGUCUAACCGCCUAAAUCACCAG
rnacentral:lncRNA from 1 species